rnacentral:lncRNA from 1 species
ACAAUUUCCAACAGAACAUAUCCUGACUCAUGCUCGUUCAAUAACUACUGGAAGCGUCUGUUAUGAUAUCAAAUCCAAACAAAAUUCUGUAUGUUCCAGUCAGAUGUUGAAGAAUUAAACAGACAAAAAGUGAAUAACUGUCGUGUUUGUUGGACUAAUCUGAAAACCUACUACGAGUAUAAUGGGUCAAUAAAACGUACAUUUAGAUGUCGUUCAAAAAUACUUGCUGUAUGUAUGGAAAACAAACAUCCGGAUCCUAUACAAGUGUAUAAUAUCUGAUCUAUAGCGUAUGAUAGUAUGUGAGAAACAUACUUCGUAGUAACUGAAUAAUUUUUAGCUGUUGAGAAAUACUGAAAAUGGACCUAUUAUUGUUCGCGUGUGACGCAUUGUCUUUCCUGCAACCUUGAACUUGACGAAAGAACGUUGUGGUAAUAACGAACCUGUGUGCAAAUUUAAAAUUCAAUCUCUUAUGGCAUUGAAAGCAAAAUAUUCGGGACAAUUGGCUUAUAUUUGAACAAUCAUUCCUAUAUGAUAACUAUGAACAUGCAUGUGCAUACGAAUAUGGUACAAUUGCGAUGUUGAAUAACAACAAAUUGGUAUCAAAACACUAGAAAAUUCCACAAGAAACUGCAAGAAGAAUGUUGACAGUCCACGAACUAGGUUGUGGAAGAAUGUUGGUCAGAAUGUUGGUGAUGAAACCUUUAAAAUACUCGAACAUUCUAGAGCUUGGGCUUUAAAAGUUGACAAUCUUAUUGUAGCUUUGCUCAGAGAGUGAGUAUAACCACAAAGUCUGAAGGGUAUCGAUAUUGACCAGAGAUACUCCAGCUAAUUUUACCGGCUUAACAAAAUGUCCUCAGGCUUUUCUAUGCUUUCUAAGAACAAAAUAUUGAUAGCCGUUUGAGUGACUGCUAAUUAUUUUCAUAUUUUUAUCAAGGAUGAGAUUUCUGUAUCGAACACUGCUUAAUUCAGAUUUUUGGCUUUCAAAAGGGACGCCCUGUCUGGUUUAACCUCUAUUUGUCUCAAAUCUCUGGCACUCGACGUCUUUCAAACAACCUACUCUUAAAGCUCACUCACAUUCAAUGAGUAGAGGUUCAAUCUGAGCUUCCCUCGAGUGUCAAUGCUGUUUUUGAAUAGAUAGAGGGCCAGUGUCAUACCUUGCUAUGCGACUACUCACCCUCCAGCUAUUCAAAAACAACAUUGGCACUCAAGAGAAGCUCAGAUUGAACCUCACACUCUCUUGAAUGUGAGUGAGCUUUUGUGUGUGAGAUGGGCGUUACAGUCUGAUGUCCUGUGUAAGAUCAUAUUUUAAUCCAUAUCAUGAACUAGAAUGGUUCUUUUUUCAGACUUUGUUUCGUAUUAUAUUUUUAUUGAAAAUUGUCGCCCGCUACAAGUGGUUAUACUCGCAUCUAUAGAGCGCGCAUAUCUAGAAGGGUAUUGAAAAUGAUAUAGCAAGUAGUAAAUAUAGCCAAAUAGAUUAUUAGAAGCUUGGGAGUACGCCAAGUUAAAGACAUUUAGCAUCACAAUGGGACAUUUGAAGGCCAAAAUCCAGUGUGCUUUAUGAUAAUAAACGAUAUACUAUAAAUCUUACAAUGAACAGAAUAUAUAGUUAAUCCGUUUGCAUGCCUAAUUGAUAGCAUAUAUUGUAUAGAAUUUGUAGCAAUAGCGCAUGUCUUAAACUUGUAAAUAUAUUUGUUUGAAUUGACUGC